GACGAACGCUGGCGGCGUGCUUAACACAUGCAAGUCGAACGGAAAGGCCCCUUUGGGGGUCCUCGAGUGGCGAACGGGUGAGUAACACGUGAGUAACCUGCCCUUGACUUCGGGAUAACUUCAGGAAACUGGGGCUAAUACCGGAUAGGAAUCCUUGCUGCAUGGUGGGGGUUGGAAAGCUUCGGCGGUUUUGGAUGGACUCGCGGCUUAUCAGCUUGUUGGUGGGGUAGUGGCUUACCAAGGCUUUGACGGGUAGCCGGCCUGAGAGGGCGACCGGCCACCUUGGGACUGAGAUACGGCCCAGACUCCUACGGGAGGCAGCAGUGGGGAAGAUUGCACAAUGGGCGGAAGCCUGAUGCAGCAACGCCGCGUGCGGGAUGACGGCCUUCGGGUUGUAAACCGCUUUCAGCAGGGGCGAAGCUUGUGGUGACGGUACCUGCAGAAGAAGCACCGGCUAACUACGUG
rnacentral:rRNA from 1 species